CUGAGAGUGAGUGCCUUAGACCACUACCAGUAGGGCUCCCAAGUGAGUCUACCAGUAGCUUGAGCAUAGACUGCCGGUUAUGUCUCUGGUUAUGUAUAUCAUCAUUAUCGCUAUCACCACUAGGAUAGCCCACAUUACCUAAUUACCUAACUAGCUACCUAGCUAUCUCGCUGGCUAACGUUAGCCUACCACAAUACAACUUGGAUUUGGCUUGGAAACAUGAUAACAUCUUAAAAGAAGGCCCUAACUAAGAUUGAGGGGACCACUGUAUUUUAGCUAGCUAACAUUAGCAUUGCUAGCUAUUUUUGACUAACUUUGCUAGUAACAGUAAUGGCAACAUUGCCAUCUCUCUAAAGUAAAUUUGACAACAUCAUAAUAUGGCAAAAUGACUUAACAAUAUCGUUGUAUUUCCAUGCCACUCUAAGUUAGUGUAAUUUAAACAGUUACGUCAUUAGCCUCUGAGGUGCAACCCCUGUCUAGGGCACAAAUUUGGUUGCAGCUAUGGGGGUACUAGCUAACUCAUGUCUGACUGCAACAGUGUACUAACUUGCAGAAACAAAUUCAACCAUCCCAGGACCAUAGCAAAACAUGUCACAGUUGGUUGCAUAGUGUAAGGGUGUUACCGGCCUGAAUCUAAUCCAAUCUGGAGCCAGUCAGUCUACAUCUGUAAAGCAUAGAAUUAGCUUGCAAACGAGAUGAUGUUAUUUCUCGAUGUAUGUUUAUAAUUGAGGCAUGAUGAUAGCUGUUGACCCUGUUUUCUCUCUCCCUCGACUCAAAUGAAAAGGACAUGCCAUCAUGAGGCCUCUGAUAGUGACCCGAAUUACUGCUCUGAUGACACAGACAGCGUCAUCAACAACGACCAGUAAUGCUCUCCCAGUCAACAUCACCUCAUGAGAUUGCCUAUUGCAGAUGUUCGAGAGAUGUCCAAUUUGCAGUCAAACAUGCAGCAUAGAGAAUACCAGCAAAGGGGCCCUCAUCAGCAUCAUGCAGAUAUGACCUCACUGUGAGCAUUCCUAUGAAUGGAACAGUCAGCCAUAUGUUGACAAGUAUCUGGCCAGCAGCCUUCACCUGUCAGCGGCAACAGCUUUCACAAGCUCAUUAUUUGUACAAAUAAAAGAAGUGUCUUUGAUGAGGGGCCAGGAGCUGAUCUACGCUGCUAUGUCCGUCAAUGGGGCUCUGGCAAACACCUCACC
rnacentral:lncRNA from 1 species